rnacentral:rRNA from 1 species
GACGAACGCUGGCGGCGUGCCUAAUACAUGCAAGUUGAGCGCUCAAGGGUGGUACUUGUACCAACUGGAUGAGCAGCGAACGGGUGAGUAACACGUGGGUAAUCUACCUUUGAGCGGGGGACAACAUUUGGAAACGAAUGCUAAUACCGCAUAAAAACUUUAAACACAUGUUUUAAUAUUGAAAGAUGCAAUUGCAUCACUCAAUGAUUAUCCCGCGUUGUAUUAGCUAGUUGGUGAGGUAAAGGCUCUCCAAGGCGAUGAUUCAUAGCCGACCUGAGAGGGUGAUCCGCCAAAUUGGGAAUGAGAAAAGGCCCCAAACCCUACGGGAGGCAGCCGUAGGGAAUCUUUCCGCAAGGACGAAAGGCUGACCGGGCCACCCCGCGUGAGUGAAGGAGGGUUUCGGAUCGUAAAACUCUGUUGGUAGAGAAGAACGUUGGUGGGAGUGAAAUGUGCACCACGUGACGGUAACUACUCAGAAAGCGACGGCUAACUACGUG